rnacentral:piRNA from 1 species
GUUGAUGAUGUAACCUGUAGCUUUCUGAGA